rnacentral:rRNA from 1 species
UACGAGUGCCUCGAGCGUUAUCCGGAAUUAUUGGGCGUAAAGGGUGCGUAGGCGGCAUGAUAAGUUAUUGGCGGCAAAUCGAGGCUCAACCUCGUGGAAACUGAUAAUACUGUCUUGCUUGAGUGCAGAAGAGGUUAACGGAACUCCAUGUGGAGCGGUAAAAUGUGUAGAUAUAUGGAAGAACAUCAAUAACGGCGAAGGCAGUUAACUAUUCUGUUACUGACGUUGAGGCACGAAAGCGUGGGGAGCAAAAAGG